UACGUAGGUGGCAAGCGUUGUCCGGAUUUACUGGGCGUAAAGAGCGCGCAGGCGGUCGUUCAAGUCGCGUGUGAAAGCCCCCGGCUCAACUGGGGAGGGUCACGCGAUACUGAUCGACUCGAAGGCAGGAGAGGGUAGUGGAAUUCCCGGUGUAGUGGUGAAAUGCGUAGAUAUCGGGAGGAACACCAGUGGCGAAGGCAGCUCGCUGGGACGGUACUGACGCUGAGGCGCGAAAGCUAGGGGAGCAAACGGG
rnacentral:rRNA from 1 species